GGAGGAGUCGUUAAUAGCGGCAGCAGAUUGUAGAUCUGUUGGUUUUUCCAUCGUAGGUUCGAAUCCUACCUCCUCCU
rnacentral:tRNA from 1 species